rnacentral:lncRNA from 10 species
ACAACAUCUAAGUCAUCUUCUUUCACACGCUCUCGUGGAUCUGGAAGGACGUGGGAAAGACAAAGUUAAACAAACCAACAAGGGUGUUUUCUUCUUUUUUAGAUAGUAUGUCCAUGACUGAUGGGAGGAAGGGGAUGGUUGGAAGAGAGUCACCACUAAAAUUGGGCUUAUCAGCAGAUUCAGGGUAACAUGUACAUUAUGUAUUUAAAUAAGGCUGAGACAUUGGCCUUCCUCUUUGCAGCAAUAGAAGUACGUCACGAUAAAUAAUUUUCCAUGAUUAGUCUUUGCAGUGCCUUUAUUUUGACCAAAUCCUUAUCUAAGAAUUAUUAGCAAAUGUUUUGUCAACUAAUAAACUACAGCAGGCGUAUUUGAAAAAAUAACUGCUUAAAAAGUUAAAGUGUCUCUUCAACAAAAUGGUGUUGAACGGUUAGAUAUCCACAGACAAAGAAAUGAACUUAAAUCUAUAUUUGGGGCCGGGCAUGGUGGCUCACGCCUAUAAUCCAGUACUUUGGGACGUCAAGGCAGGUGGAUCACGAGGUUAGGAGUUCAAGACCAGCCUGGCCAAGAUGGUGAAACCCCGUCUCUACUAAAACUACAAAAAUUAGCCAGGCAUUGUGGCAGGUGCCUGUAAUCCCAGUUACUUGGGAGGCUGAGGCAGGAGAAUCGCUUGAACCUGGAGGCAGAGGUUGCAGUAGCAGAAGUCACCCCGCUACACUGUAGCCUGGGCAAAAGACUAAGAUUCAGUCUCAAAAAAAAAAAAAAAAAAAAAAAAAUAUAUAUAUAUAUAUAUAUAUAUAUAAACAGAUAUAUACAAAAAUUAAUUCAAAAUGGAUCACAGAUCUAAAUGUAAAACCUAAAACUAAAAAUUUCUAGAACAAAAUAUAGGAGGAAAUCCUUGUGGCACUGGGUUAGGCAAAGUUUUCUUAGGCAUGACACCAAAAGCAUGAUCCAUUUAAAAAACACUGAUAGACUGGGCUUGAUCAAAAUUUAAAACUUCUACUCUUUGAAAGACACUGUUUAGAGAAUGC